rnacentral:tRNA from 1 species
GCGAGUUGGGUUGGCCGAAACCGCUCUAACAAGCCGUUUUCGGCCCAUAGCGUCGGUCGACGGAACCGAAGGUCAGAGGUUCGAAUCCUCUCGGGCGCG